rnacentral:rRNA from 1 species
AACGAACGCUGGCGGCAUGCCUAACACAUGCAAGUCGAACGGGAUCCUGGUUUCGGCCAGGUGAGAGUGGCGGACGGGUGAGUAACGCGUGGGAACCUGCCCAGUGGUGGGGGAUAACUGCGGGAAACUGCAGCUAAUACCGCAUGAGCCCGAAAGGGGAAAGAUUGAUCGCCAUUGGAGGGGCCCGCGUUCGAUUAGGUAGUUGGUGAGGUAACGGCUCACCAAGCCUUCGANCGAUAGCUGGUCUGAGAGGAUGAUCAGCCACACUGGGACUGAGAUACGGCCC